AUUGUGAGGCAGAGAGACUCACCUGAUUGGUCAGGGAAUACAUUGACGGACACAGGGUACAAAUAAAAGUCCCUCCACCACUGUUCUCCUCCGAUUGUCUCCUGCUCUAGCAACACAGAUCUCAUACUCAUAGAUUUUCCAGUUUGCCACCAUGAGUCCCAAGAACGUAAUCUUCAAGAAGAUGGCCAAGGACAAGUCGGUUGGAGUAUACAUGGCGAAGAGGGACUUUGUGGACCGUGUGGACUCUGUCGAGCCAGUGG